UACAGAGGGUGCGAGCGUUAAUCGGAAUUACUGGGCGUAAAGCGUGCGUAGACGGCUAUUUAAGUCGGGUGUGAAAGCCCCGGGCUCAACCUGGGAAUUGCAUUCGAGACUGAGUAGCUAGGGUGCGGUAGAGGGAAGCGGAAUUUCCGGUGUAGCGGUGAAAUGCGUAGAUAUCGGAAGGAACAUCAGUGGCGAAAGCGGCUUCCUGGACCAGCACCGACGUUCAGGCACGAAAGCGUGGGGAGCAAACAGG
rnacentral:rRNA from 1 species